UACGAAGGGGGCUAGCGUUGCUCGGAAUCACUGGGCGUAAAGCGCGCGUAGGCGGAUUGCUAAGUCUUGUGUGAAAUCCCUCGGCUCAACUGAGGAACUGCACGGGAUACUGGAUGGCUUGAGUUCGGGAGAGGGAAGCGGAAUUCCGGGUGUAGCGGUGAAAUGCGUAGAUAUCCGGAGGAACACCGGUGGCGAAGGCGGCUUCCUGGACCGAUCACUGACGCUGAGGCGCGAAAGCUAGGGGAGCAAACGGG
rnacentral:rRNA from 1 species